CCUGCCGUCUACUCUUGGACAGCCUUCUGAAAGGAAGAUUAAUACAAGAUGGCAUCAUGAGUUCACAUGUUCACAUGAUUAAAGGUAUUCCGGUAGACGAUGGGGAUGCGUUCCAUUAGAUAGUAGGCGGGGUAACGGCCCACCUAGUCUUCGAUGGAUAGGGGUUCUGAGAGGAAGGUCCCCCACAUUGGAACUGAGACACGGUCCAAACUCCUACGGGAGGCAGCAGUGAGGAAUAUUGGUCAAUGGGCGCAGGCCUGAACCAGCCAAGUAGCGUGAAGGAUGACUGCCCUAUGGGUUGUAAACUUCUUUUAUAAAGGAAUAAAGUCGGGUAUGUAUACCCGUUUGCAUGUACUUUAUGAAUAAGGAUCGGCUAACUCCGUGCCAGCAGCCGCGGUAAUACGGAGGAUCCGAGCGUUAUCCGGAUUUAUUGGGUUUAAAGGGAGCGUAGAUGGAUGUUUAAGUCAGUUGUGAAAGUUUGCGGCUCAACCGUAAAAUUGCAGUUGAUACUGGAUAUCUUGAGUGCAGUUGAGGCAGGCGGAAUUCGUGGUGUAGCGGUGAAUGCUUAGAUAUCACGAAGAACUCCGAUUGCGAAGGCAGCCUGCUAAGCUGCAACUG
rnacentral:rRNA from 1 species